rnacentral:rRNA from 1 species
AUUGAACGCUGGCGGCAGGCCUAACACAUGCAAGUCGAGCGAGCGGCGGACGGGUGAGUAAUGUAUGGGGACUGCCCGCUAGAGGGGGGUCAACACUGGAAAAGGUAGCUAAUACCGCCUAGUAUCGGAUAACCCAUAUGGGAUGAGCUAGUAGGUGAGGUAAUGGCUCACCUAGGCGACGACCCCUAGCUGGGCUGAGAGGAUGAUCAGCCACACUGGGACUGAGACACGGCCCAGACUCCUACGGAGGCAGCAGGGGGGAAUAUUGCACAAUGGGCGCAAGCCUGAUGCAGCCAUGCCGCGUGUAUGAAGAAGGCCAUAGGGUUGUAAAGUACUUUCAGUCGGGAGGCGUUACCGACAGAAGAAGCACCGGCUAACUCCGUGCCAGCAGCCGCGGUAAUUC